AGAGGAGAAGUUCCAGAUAGAUCUUAUGGCUCCUCCUCCACAGUUAAGAUCAUCACCUGAAAGAGAAGCUGAGAUGGGUUUUGGCUCAGCAGCUGUGGAUAGUAUUAAGCAUAUUAUAUCAUCAGAAAAUAUUGUUGAAAUUAAGCCUGCUGUGACAGAAAAUGAUGAUGAAAGGAUUGGCAAAGCUGAGAAAGAUGAAGGGAUGGUGGUGAGUGUUGAAGCUGAGGAAAAGAAGACUAAAGCAGCUGUAGAAGAAAUUAAUGCUCAUAAGAUAAGUGAGAGUAGUAGGGGUAGGAAUAUUAAUCUUGAUCUUGAUUUGGAAAAGCCAGAAAAGGAUAGUGGUGUAAGUGGCAAAUUUCAACAGCACAGUCAAAAGUUGCAGCAGCACCAACCACCUCCUCCACCACAAAAAGCUACUAAAGAAGAAUCAGUUCCUGAAAAAACUGGUCAAUCCAGCUCUUUGCCUAUGCCAAUGUCUAUGGCUAGUUGGCCUGGUGGGCUUCCUCCCAUGGGAUACAUGGCGCCGUUACAAGGAGUUGUCGCUAUGGAUGGAAGCACGGUUUCUUCUGCUGCUCCAAUGCAGCCUCUGUUCUCUCAACCAAGGCCAAAAAGAUGUGCAACACAUUGUUACAUUGCUAGGAAUAUACAUUGCCUUCAGCAAUUUAUGAAGAUGCAUCCUUUUUGGCCACCUGCUGCUGGCACUGCACCCUUCUUUGGAGCCAAGACCAAUCUUAAUGUUAUGCCAUCAGCUGAUCUCCAUGGAAACUUAGCUGGUAGAGGAGCAAGUGCUGGGCCUGAUAAUAAAGGGCAGGGGCUUGCUAUCUUCCCUAGUAAUGGUGGAAAAGACAAAGUUCAACCAGCUAACAUUGCAGAUGCUGCUCAGAGAAAACAGCAAAUGUUACUCCAACAAGCAUUGCCGCCUGUUGCGCCCAAUAAUCUACUGCAUGGGCCUGCUUUCAUCUUCCCUUUGAAUCAACAGCAGGCAACUGCAGCUGCUGCUGUUCGACCAGGUCCUGCAAAGUCACCUAGCACAAUGGGCCCUUCUGUCCCUUCUAACACAACUAAUGCUGCUGCUGGAACUGCUUCAGCUACAGCUGGUGGAGCGGCUACUGCAAUUAGCUUCAACUAUCCAAAUAUGUCUCCUAAUGAUGCUCAGUAUUUGGCGAUCUUGCAGAAUAAUGCGUAUGCUUUCCCAAUACCAGCUGUAGGACCACCUCCGAAUUAUCGGGGAACUCAUCCUCAGCCCAUGCCAUUGUUCAAUGGAUCUUUCUAUUCUUCCCAGAUGAUUCAUCCUUCCCAGGUUCAGCAGCAGCAACAUCAACAGCAGCAGCAGCAUCAACAACAGCAGCAGCAGCAUCAACAACAGCAGCAGCAGCAUCAA
rnacentral:misc_RNA from 1 species